UACGACCACAUCACCUGAAACACCAGUUCCAAAAUGAUCACCAAAGUUAAACAAUGUCGAGCCUGGUCAGUACAUAGAUGGGUAACCACUUGGGAAUACUAGGUGCAGUA